GUUGAAACACCGGUUCCCAUACGACCACUGAAGUUAAGCAAUGUUGAACUUGGUAAGUAACUAGAUGGGUGAUCGCUUGGGAAUACCAGGUGCUGUAA